rnacentral:lncRNA from 1 species
UCAAAAUGUCUAUUAACUGAUUCUCUUUUAAAACAGCUCCCAACGUUUCUUUGAUAACAUAAUGAAAGUAGAAGCAUUUUCCUAUUUUCAUCAUCCUCAGUGAAUCCCACCAAACUCUGCAGAGUUCUUGAGCUCACUUUCUACCAUUUCACAGCCACAGACAUAAAUCAAUAAAAGAGCUUGGAAGCACAGCUUUCAGUACCUGAAACGAAGCAGCUAUAUAAGAACAGCUGAAAUUUCCUGAUCAUAAAUAGCAAUAACAUGGAUGGACACAAAUUGAAUAAUAGAUAAGUUGAUCAGAACAAAAUGAGAAAGAAAAAAAAACAGUAAAACACCCAAUUUGUUCCUCUGCCAUUUAACACCAUGUUUAAGACAAAAUCAAGCGAUAGAAUUCAAUCCAAUCGUACUAAAAAAUCCAUGAAUUCACAUGUAAUCCAAUUAAAUAUGAGUAUUUGAAAUAAUUGAAAGGUCAACUGAAGUGAAGAAAAAAAAAUGCUCAC